GACGAACGCUGGCGGCGUGCUUAACACAUGCAAGUCGAGCGGUAAGGCCCUUUCGGGGGUACACGAGCGGCGAACGGGUGAGUAACACGUGGGUGACCUGCCCUCAGCUCUGGGAUAAGCCUGGGAAACCGGGUCUAAUACCGGAUAUGACUCCAUGACGCAUGUUGUGGGGUGGAAAGCCUUGUGCGGCUGAGGAUGGGCCCGCGGCCUAUCAGCUUGUUGGUGGGGUGAUGGCCUACCAAGGCGACGACGCGUAGCCGGCCUGAGAGGGCGACCGGCCACACUGGGACUGAGACACGGCCCAGACUCCUACGGGAGGCAGCAGUGGGGAAUCUUGCGCAAUGGGCGAAAGCCUGACGCAGCGACGCCGCGUGAGGGAUGACGGCCU
rnacentral:rRNA from 1 species